rnacentral:rRNA from 1 species
AUUGAACGCUGGCGGCAGGCCUAACACAUGCAAGUCGAACGCGUGGCGGACGUGUGAGUAAUGUCUGGGAAACUGCCCGAUUGAGGGGGGUAACUACUGGAAACAGUAUCUAAUACAGCAUACCCUCGGAUGUGCCCAGAUGGGAUUAGCUAGUAGUUGGGGUAACGGCUCACCUCGGCGACGAUCCCUCGCUGGUCUGAGAGGAUGACCAGCCACACUGGAACUGAGACACGGCCCAGACUCAUACGGGAGGCAGCAGUGGGGAAAAGUGCACAAUGGGCGCAAGCCGGAUGCAGCCAUGCCGCGUGUAUGAAGAAGGCCUUCGGGUUGUAAAGUACUUUCAGCGAGGAGGCGUUACUCGCAGAAGAAGCACCGGCUAACUCCGUGCCAGCAGCCGCGGUAAUUC